rnacentral:misc_RNA from 1 species
AACCGUAACGACCGGGCUCAAGACGCCGGCAGCCGGUAAUGGCCGCCUGCUGAACGGUAGUUACUACACACGGCCAACCGCGCCGUAAACGCUCAUUC